rnacentral:snRNA from 1 species
AGCGACCCCAGGUCAGGCGGG